rnacentral:rRNA from 1 species
CCUACGGGGGGCAGCAGUGAGGAAUAUUGGACAAUGGGCGCAAGCCUGAUCCAGCCAUGCCGCGUGCAGGAAGAAGCAUCUAUGGUGUGUAAACUGCUUUUGUACGGGAAGAAACACUGCUACGUGUAGCAGCUUGACGGUACCGUAAGAAUAAGGAUCGGCUAACUCCGUGCCAGCAGCCGCGGUAAUACGGAGGAUCCAAGCGUUAUCCGGAAUCAUUGGGUUUAAAGGGUCCGUAGGCGGUUUGGUAAGUCAGUGGUGAAAGCCCAUCGCUUAACGAUGGAACGGCCAUUGAUACUGCCAGGCUUGAAUUACUAGGAAGUAACUAGAAUAUGUAGUGUAGCGGUGAAAUGCUUAGAUAUUACAUGGAAUACCAAUUGCGAAGGCAGGUUACUACUAGUUUAUUGACGCUGAUGGACGAAAGCGUGGGGAGCGAACAGGAUUAGAUACCCUGGUAGUCCACGCCGUAAACGAUGGAUACUAGCUGUUCGGGUAACCUGAGUGGCUAAGCGAAAGUGAUAAGUAUCCCACCGUGGGGAGUACGUUCGCAAGAAUGAAACUCGAAAAGGAAUUGACGGCGNGAGACGAGACGACGACGACGACGAGGGAGGAGG